GCCCGGAUGGCGGAAUCGGUAGACGCGCUGGUCUCAAACACCAGUAGCUGCAAGGCUGUGCCGGUUCGAUCCCGGCUCCGGGUACCU
rnacentral:tRNA from 1 species